AUGGGAGGUGGCAAUUUCCGUCAUCGUACAAGUAAGAAGGGAGCAGCGAAAUUUAAUUCAGGAUCAGCAUGUGAAAGCAACCCAACGAGAAGCAAGCAUCGCGCCGCUGCCAAUGCCGCUAGAAAUGCUUCUUUCGGCGGAGCCGGCAUGCUUGCCGUCGAGGAUCGUCUCAUGAACACCGCCGCCGCCGACGAUAUGCUGCUCUCGGCUCUUCCGAUUCAUUCGAUGGAUAUCGGCUCUUCGUCGAAAAGCAUGGUUUCCGAGGGAGGCUUGUCUAAGCUCUCCGGAUUCACGGCUUGCACAAAUCCUGCGUUUGAUUCUGUCAAUCGGGUCUGGAAGCAAAGAAUCCGACGUUGAGUACUGUGCGGCUCUGAUGACCGCGCUGGAAGGAUCCUCGCUGGGAAAUCCCAGAAGAACGGCAGCAAUCGCUUAUCUGCUUCAUCUGAUUGUGAGAAAGGUGCCGAAAGAGGUGCUUCAAGCUCAGUUUCACAGAUUUGUGCAGAUUCUCUACACAAAACUCCUAGAAAACGUCGAUAGCACCGAAGGAUCCGCGUUGAAAAACCUCAUUUCAGUGCUCGGAAUCAUCCUCCGUGCCCAGCAAGCGUCCGUCUGGUCCAGCGCCAAUACGCGGAAUAUGCUCGUCUCUGUGGCUGCUCUGGCGGCUCACGACAAGCCGUGGGUCCGUACGAUGGCUCGUCGUGUGAUCCGGGCGGUUCUUACCGAUCCGGUUACUGCGACGGAUAACGGGUUGCAUCCGGCGAGCGGAGCAGUUGGACAACUGAUUUUGAAUCAUAUUGAAAGCUUUUUGGGCCGCUCGAGCGCUGACAACACCAAUGUCGUCAGAUUCCUCUGUCUCCUCGAAGGUGUCAUGCACAAAAUGCCGGCUGUGCUCUUCAAGAAAAUGGCUGAAGCAAUGCUGAAAUGCUUCGCAAUCUCCGACUCAAUGGUCAAAUGCUCGGCUCUUCAAUGUCUCCAUCGUGCUCUUCAGCGUCAGCCAUGCGAUUCGGCUCUUCCCACCGAGACGAAUGCUCUGCUGCUCACUGCUCUCCGCCAACUCGGAGCAUCUGUUACAGAUGUGACUGUCACUGCAUACUGGAUGCAAGCUCUCGCUGAAGCUCACGUGUGCUUGACUGCAAAGGAUUCGAAGAAAUCCGUUCAACAGGCCUUCCAGACGCUUCCACUUUUCGUCAAGAUCUUCGAAGCUGGAAAUGAGCAACUCGCGCAGGUCACCUAUCAAUCGUUGACUCGUGUCAUUGAGAAUAGUAUUCAAGAUGAUGCGGCGUGCGGCAAAUUCUUGCUCUCACAGCUCCACGUGGCGAUGACAAUGAAGUCGGCGUCAGUCUGGAAAUUUAUUCUUCGAGCACAGAUGAAGCUCUACGAGACGUGUGGAGAAGGUCUACAGGGUGCGGAGCUCACCAAGGUUAUGGAGGAUCUCGCGAGGCUCCGGCAAUCGGAUGAUUGCUUCUGCAAGACUGAACUCGACUUUACAAUCGGAGCCGCCGUCCGUCACAUUGGUGUCGCCCAUGUCAUGAACAUUCUCUCGCUGGAAGUGGAUCCAGACGCAGCAAUUCUCUCAACAGACUUCACACGUUCAUGGCUUCUCCCUGUGCUCCGAGUCAACAUCCACAAUGCUCCGAUCUCGCUCUUCAUCUCACACUUCCUUCCGAUCGCCAUGAAGAUCCAUCGACGUCUUCCAACACUUCAGGCGCCGCAGGUUCAACGCCUGUACAGCACAUUCCAGUUCCAGCUCUGGGAGUUGCUCCCCUCGUUCUGCGAAUCUCCAUCCGAUCUUGAGACUGCGUUCCCCGACAUUGCACCGAUUCUCGGAGCCGCGUUGAACGAGCGGAAGGAUCUUCGAAUGACGGUGCUGAAUGCGAUUCGUCGGGCUCUUCGCUUCUGCCUGGAGCCUGAUGCUCCUGCAGAGCGGGUGGAGGUUAUGAGCCGAUACGCGAAGAAUUUCAUGCCAAUCUUCUUCAAUAUGUACACUGGAUCAGUUGUGGAUGGAGGAUAUGAUGAUAAGGGUGUCCGGCUUUCCGUUCUUGAAGCUAUACGGCUUUACACAGAAGUUACUCCAGCCGAUCUGGUCACCCGUUAUGUCGAUAGUGCGAUCGCCAAGUCCAAGGAUCAUGACGAAUCGGUAGCAUCACAAAAGCAAGCCAGAGUCCUGGAUAUUCUGUGUGCGCUGGCUAAAGUUGCUGAAAAUGAGAAUGUCUCAAAGAUUCUGGACACAAUUAUGCCUUGGUUCAACUCCAGCGAUACCAAUGGUGUACAGAAGAAGGCUUUUAGAAUUUUGGAGGAAGUUAUUCAAAGAAGAUCCCAUCCAGAAAUUGAGCAUCUUCUCGAUACUCGAAAUGACUACGUCGAGAAUGCGCUGUUCAAGCCGAUUGAAUCGAUCAGUUUCCCGGCUAGAGCUUCUUAUUGUUCCUGCGUGCAUAUGCUCUACGACGGCUGCAAUACGAUGAAAGAAGUCACCGAUCUCACCGAGAAGCUCAUCCGUAACAUCAUACUGCUUCUCGACAAGGAUAACAAUGUGCACACCCGACAGAACUCGAGCAAGUGCAUUCAAUUCAUUUGUAGUAAGAUCUUGGAUCUCGUCGACGAUCCCACAAUCGACACACCAUCCGCUGCUCUGGAGCCGGUGCUUUCGAAGCUCUACGAGCUCACCACAAUCUCUGCCGAGCAAAAAACCACUGGAGACAUUCCGUUGCAUGUUGCUCGGUCUUGCCUCGUCGCAGCGAAUAUUAUCGCUCAGAAGCAGGUUAAAAUCCUCAACACGAUCGCCACGUCGAAGAUGAUCUCGUUCGCGUGCUCCUGGAUCGGAGAAGGACGUGCCGCUGUUCGAAUUCUCGCGAUUCGUCUGAUGCGUGUCCUGUGCCAGAAGAUCCCUGAAGUGAUGCUCCAACAAUUCCGUGAGCAGAUCCUGACUACAGUCUUCGAAGGGCAGCUCACCAGUGAUCUGACGAUCAAAGUUCGGAAAGCCAACCGGCUGCUUCUGGAAGUUCUCGUCGAGAAGUUCGGAGUUAAUGUGCUCCAGAAGUACACGGAGAAGCCAGAUUGGCUGAAGCAGAUGAAGAAUAUCGAGAAGAUCAGAAAGCGAAAGGUUCGGAAGGCUGGGGAGGCUGAGAUGGAGCACGAUGAUGAGGAUGGUGCAAGUGCGAUCAGUGGAUCGAAUGUUUCUGGAAGAACUGCUGGAGCUGACACAAUUCUCGAACUUUUGGAAGAUUCGGAUGCCGACAAUGAGAGUGACUCUGAGGAGCAGCUGAUGAAGAAGUCUCGAGUCGGAAGUGUCUGGUUGAAGAAUGAAUCCGAUGGAGAUGUCCCCAUGGAUCUUCUCGAUUCUUCUAGAAUGAUGGAUCAGAUCACCACGAUGAAUCCGGCGAUUCUUGAGAAGAGAAAGAAGAAGGCGUUGGAGAGACGGCAGAAGGUUGAAGCUGGAUUCCAGUUCUCCAAGGAUGGAAAGAUGAUUGUGCUUGGAGAUGAUGAGGAGGAUGAGGAUAAGAAGCAGAUCGGGAAGAGAAAGAUGCGAAGUGGAUAUGAUGGUCUGGGAGAUGAUGAUGAGGAUGAUGAGGAUGGUCCGACGAAGGGGAAGAAGCGGGUUAAGGAGAAUAGUGAUUCGGAAGAUGAGAUUCUUUCCGAUGAUGAUGAUGAUGAUGAUGAGAAGGAUGCCAAGACUUUUGUCAGCAGAGCAGCUCCGUCGUAUGGUGGAAAGGGUAUCUAUAGAGAUACAUCCGGAAAAUCACAAGUUGGAAGCUCCGUGGGAGCCAAGCGUCAGCAGAAGCAAAAGCCCAACAAGCCGAAGCAACAGCAGAAGAGUGUUCAGCCGUACGCCUACGUUCCACUACGCAAUAAGACCGCCAAGCAGGAUGUUCGUCAAAUUUUGAAGGCGAAGAGAAAGAGCGGCAAGGGAGGUGGCAAGAAGGUCACUUUUUAA
rnacentral:misc_RNA from 1 species